rnacentral:rRNA from 1 species
GACGUGACUUCAGAGUUUGAUCCUGGCUCAGGACGAACGCUGGCGGCGUGCCUAAUACAUGCAAGUCGAACGAACGGACUGGAAGCUUGCUUCCAGGAAGUUAGUGGCGGACGGGUGAGUAACACGUGGGUAACCUGCCCUUCAGUGGGGGAUAACAUCCGGAAACGGGUGCUAAUACCGCAUAGUUUCUUUUUCCGCAUGGAAGAAGAAGGAAAGACGGCCUUUGUGCUGUCGCUGAGGGAUGGACCCGCGGCGUAUUAGUUAGUUGGUGGGGUAAUGGCCUACCAAGACGAUGAUACGUAGCCGACCUGAGAGGGUGAUCGGCCACAUUGGGACUGAGACACGGCCCAA